UACAGAGGUCCCAAGCGUUGUUCGGAUUCAUUGGGCGUAAAGGGUGCGUAGGCGGCGCGGUAAGUCGGGUGUGAAAUCUCGGGGCUUAACUCCGAAACUGCAUUCGAUACUGCCGUGCUUGAGGACUGGAGAGGAGACUGGAAUUUACGGUGUAGCGGUGAAAUGCGUAGAUAUCGUAAGGAAGACCAGUGGCGAAAGGCGGGUCUCUGGACAGUUCCUGACGCUGAGGCACGAAGGCCAGGAGAGCAAACGGG
rnacentral:rRNA from 1 species